rnacentral:rRNA from 1 species
GACGAACCGUGCAAACGUUGUUCGGAAUCACUGGGCUUAAAGGGCGCGUAGGCGGCUCGCCAAGUCGGGGGUGAAAUCUUUCGGCUCAACCGGAAAAGUGCCUUCGAUACUGCCGUGCUUGAGGACUGGAGAGGAGACUGGAAUUUACGGUGUAGCGGUGAAAUGCGUAGAUAUCGUAAGGAAGACCAGUGGCGAAGGCGGGUCUCUGGACAGUUCCUGACACUGAGGCACGAAGGUCAGGGGAGCAAACGGG